GACCCGUGCAACAGGCCAAAAGCAGGCUGUCGACAAGCAGUCUCUUAACUAUGGCGGAAUAGGAGCUAUCAUUGGUCAUGAGCUAACACAUGGAUAUGAUGAUUGGGGGGGCCAGUACGACCGCCAUGGCAACCUCAAACAGUGGUGGACAGAAGAGUCCUACAGAAAGUUCCAGACGAAGGCUGAAUGUAUCGUCAAGCUCUAUGAUAACUUCACUGUUUAUAACCAGAGGGUGAAUGGUCGUCUGACACUGGGGGAGAACAUAGCAGACAUGGGAGGGCUCAAGCUGUCAUACUAUGCCUAUCAGAAGUGGGUGAGGGAACAUGGUCCAGAGAGGCCCCUGCCUGGCCUCAGGUACACACAUGAACAGCUGCUCUUCAUCGCCUUUGCACAG